UACGAAGGGUGCUAGCGUUGUUCGGAAUCACUGGGCGUAAAGCGCGCGUAGGCGGUUAUGUAAGUCAGGGGUGAAAUCCUGAGGCUCAACCUCAGAAUUGCCUUUGAAACUGUAUGACUGGAGUGUCGGAGGGGAUAGCGGAAUUGCUAAUGUAGCGGUGAAAUGCGUAGAUAUUAGCAGGAACACCGGUGGCGAAGGCGGCUAUCUGGACGACAACUGGCGCUGAGGCGCGAAAGCGCGGGGAUCAAACAGG
rnacentral:rRNA from 1 species